rnacentral:rRNA from 1 species
CGGAGGAUCCAAGCGUUAUCCGGAAUCAUUGGGUUUAAAGGGUCCGUAGGCGGUUUUAUAAGUCAGUGGUGAAAUCUGGUCGCUCAACGAUCAAACGGCCAUUGAUACUGUAGAACUUGAAUUACUUGGAAGUAACUAGAAUAUGUAGUGUAGCGGUGAAAUGCUUAGAGAUUACAUGGAAUACCAAUUGCGAAGGCAGGUUACUACAAGUGGAUUGGCGCUGAUGGACGAAAGCGUGGGGAGCGAACAGGAUUAGAUACCCUGGUAGUCCACGCCGUAAACGAUGGAUACUAGCUGUUCGGAGCAAUCUGAGUGGCUAAGCGAAAGUGAUAAGUAUCCCACCUGGGGAUACGAACGCAAGUUUG